rnacentral:rRNA from 1 species
GUGAACGCUGGCGGUAGGCCUAACACCUGCAAGUCGAACGGCAGCACAGUAAGAGCUUGCUCUUACGGGUGGCGAGUGGCGGACGGGUGAGGAAUACAUCGGAAUCUACUUUUUCGUGGGGGAUAACGUAGGGAAACUUACGCUAAUACCGCAUACGACCUACGGGUGAAAGCCGGGGAUCUUCGGACCUUGCGCGAUUGAAUGAGCCGAUGUCGGAUUAGCUAGUUGGCGGGGUAAAGGCCCACCAAGGCGACGAUCCGUAGCUGGUCUGAGAGGAUGAUCAGCCACACUGGAACUGAGACACGGUCCAGACUCCUACGGGAGGCAGCAGUGGGGAAUAUUGGACAAUGGGCGCAAGCCUGAUCCAGCCAUACCGCGUGGGUGAAGAAGGCCUUCGGGUUGUAAAGCCCUUUUGUUGGGAAAGAAAAGCAGCAGGUUAAUACCCCGCUGUUCUGACGGUACCCAAAGAAUAAGCACCGGCUAACUUCGUG